UACAGAGGUGGCAAGCGUUGUUCGGAAUUACUGGGCGUAAAGCGCGUGUAGGCGGCUCUUCAAGUCAGGCGUGAAAGCCCCGGGCUCAACUCGGGAACUGCGCUUGAUACUGUCGAGCUAGAGUGUGGAAGGGGCGAUUGGAAUUCCGUGUGUAGCGGUGGAAUGCGCAGAUAUCGAGAGGAACACCUGCGGCGAAGGCGGGUUGCUGGGCCGACACUGACGCUGAAGCGCGAAAGCGUGGGGAGCGAACAGG
rnacentral:rRNA from 1 species